UACGUAGGGGGCAAGCGUUGUCCGGAAUCAUUGGGCGUAAAGCGCGUGUAGGCGGCUCGAUAAGUCUGCUGUGAAAGUUCAGGGCUCAACCCUGAAAUGCCGGUGGAAACUGUCGAGCUAGAGUCCGGAAGAGGCGAGUGGAAUUCCUGGUGUAGCGGUGGAAUGCGCAGAUAUCAGGAGGAACACCGAUGGCGAAGGCAGGUCACUGGGCCGCAACUGACGCUGAGGAGCGAAAGCAUGGGGAGCGAACAGG
rnacentral:rRNA from 1 species